GGGGCCUUAAAGGUUUCGACGUGUUGGAGAAAUCCGAAGCGUGAUUCAGGCCGAGAGUGAGUCUCCUCUCGUAAAUCCAAGGCUCAAACCAAAAAGUAACUGCGAACAACAUCGUUCCUUUCGCUCGUAAGGCAGCUGCUGUUGCCUAAAAACCUCUAAAGGUUCGAGCACUCAUAGUCUGACUCCGUUAAGGGCUAUGGGUAAACCCCAACGGAUGCGCUAGUUCGUCGUCUCUGGUCGGCGCUCUAGCAAAGACUCUACCAGAGCAUCCCGCCAUCCGGGAUAAUGGAUGGUCCCCGCUCUGAGGGUAAAAAGAGCUAAGCCUGUGAACGAUCGUGAGGUCAAUACCCAAGGCGGACACGGGUUCGAUUCCCGUAGGCUCCAUUC
rnacentral:tmRNA from 1 species